GUCAGCUCGUGUCGUGAGAUGUUGGGUUAAGUCCCGCAACGAGCGCAACCCUUGUCCUUAGUUGCCAGCACGUAAUGGUGGGAACUCUAAGGAGACUGCCGGUGACAAACCGGAGGAAGGUGGGGAUGACGUCAAGUCCUCAUGGCCCUUACGGCCAGGGCUACACACGUACUACAAUGGUCGGUACAGAGGGUUGCAAUACCGCGAGGUGGAGCCAAUCCCAGAAAGCCGAUCCCAGUCCGGAUCGGAGUCUGCAACUCGACUCCGUGAAGUCGGAAUCGCUAGUAAUCGCGGAUCAGCUAUGCCGCGGUGAAUACGUUCCCGGGCCUUGUACACACCGCCCGUCACACCAUGGGAGUGAGUUGCU
rnacentral:rRNA from 1 species